rnacentral:rRNA from 1 species
CUUAAGGUGAAAACAACAUAUUUUAUAAAAAUGACAUUGAAACAUGAAAGUAGAGGGGUCAAAUAGGAUUAGACACCCUAGUAGUCUUUACUUUAAAUUAUGAGUAUUUGGUCUUUUUAGAUCUUAGUUAACGCGUAGAAUACUCCGCCUGGGCAGUACAGUCGCAAGGUUGAAACUUAACAGAAUUGGCGGGAAUUUUUUCAAACGGUGGAACAUGUGGUUUAAUACAUGAGUGGCAAGCGUUAUCCGUAUUUAUUGGGCGUAAAGGAUGUGUAGAUGGUAAAAGUAGUUAUAUUUAACUAAAUCAGAAUAUUGUGUUAAAAUAUAAUACCUUUUUACUUUGAUUUUUAUAUAUGUAUGUUAUAUUUAUAAUCUAGUGAUAAAAUACAGUGAGUUUAUAAGUAUAUCUUAAGGUGAAAACAACAUAUUUUAUAAAAAUGACAUUGAAACAUGAAAGUAGAGGGGUCAAAUAGGAUUAGACACCCUAGUAGUCUUUACUUUAAAUUAUGAGUAUUUGGUCUUUUUAGAUCUUAGUUAACGCGUAGAAUACUCCGCCUGGGCAGUACAGUCGCAAGGUUGAAACUUAACAGAAUUGGCGGGAAUUUUUUCAAACGGUGGAACAUGUGGUUUAAUACGAUAAUCCGCGUAAAAUCUUACCAAAAUGGUUAAUAUUAUUUAUAUACUAUUAAUUUAGUAUAAAUUUAAAUAUUAAUGCAGUAUUGCAUGGCUGUCGUCGGUUCGUGCUGUGAAAUGUAAAAUUAAGUUUUAUAACGAACGCAACUCUUAUAUAUAAUUUUAAUUAAUUUUGUUUAAAUUUAAUAAUUUAUAAAAUUUAAUUUUUUAUAUAAAGAUUUUAUUUUAAUAAAAUGGAGGAAAAGACCGAAGUCAAGUCAUUAUGGUCUAAGUAUUUUGGGCUACACACGUGUUACAAAAGUAAAAACAAAGAGUUGCAAUUGAGUGAUCUUAAGCAAAUCUCUAAAAAUUACUCCAGUUCAGAUUGUUUUCUGAAAUUCGAAAACAUGAAGUCGAAAUCGUUAGUAAUCGUAAAUUAGUACGUUACGGUGAAUGUCAAGUUAAAUUUUGCACACACCGCCCAUCACGCUCUGAAAAUUAGUUUAUUUCGAAAAAUUUUUAAUGCAAAUUAACUUGUACAACGGGUAUAAUUUUUUUAUAAGUUUAUACUAGAAUUUUUAUUUAUUUAAAAAGAUUG